rnacentral:snRNA from 1 species
GGAUGUGAGAGUGAUUUGGCUGCACCGUGUGUCUCCCCACUGACUGCCAGUAUUGAUUCAGCUGAUCUGGCUGCCUAUGCAGGUGUCUCCUUCCUCCAUCACCUCUCUAUGUGUGUCCCUCCCAAAGCUGUGCACUCAAAGAGCAAGACCUCCCUCUAUAAUGCAGGACUAUUCUUUGAUCGAGAGUAUACACGUAGAUGUGCUCCCCUGCUAAAAUCUCCAAACAAGCUCUCAAAGGCACAUUCAUUUUAAAUUCACAGGCUGAAAAGUGAUGAAAAGAAGACGUUGCAAGUCUAUGUUU